CCUACAUUGACCAGUUUAAGUGGCUUCCUUCCUUUGGCAGCUGCCUUCUCAAAAAUCUGGAUAUGCCUAGGUCUAAUAGAAGGUCUCUGGAGGAGAUUUUUGCCCACUAAACAUAAGUAGAGAAAGAGAUCUCUGUCUAAGGCUACUACAACUAACAUGGUUCAAGUGUAUGAUCAGGGGUUGCUUUCUUCAAGGAAUCCUGAUGGAGAGCUGGACUUCAAAUGUCUUCUUCCUUGGGAAUACCAUGAAUAGGGAGCAACAGCAAAACAAAAGAUACUGUGGGCUGUCUGAAGAUUCUGAUGAUUUUUCUCUGCCUUCUCAUUAACAAACAGUACUGCAGCAACUCAGUUACCUCUGAAAAUCUGGAGGAAAUUUCCCCUAAUUCAUCAGCUAUCUCUUGGUUCUUUGCUUUUGGGAAAGGAAGGGUGUAGAGCCUUAUCACUUGACGUUCUGAUACAGCAGAGACAUCACCUGGAUGUUUGCUAGAAAUGGAGGAUCUCGUGGUCCCGCGGACCUGUGGAAUCUAAACCUGCAUUUUAAAAAGGUUCAAAGGAGGGCGCCUGGAUGGCUCAGUCGGUUAAGCUUCUGACUUCAGCUUAGGUCAUGAUCUCGUGUUUUGUGAGUUUGAGCCCCACGUCAGGCUCUCUGCACAGAGCCUGGAGCCUGCUUCAGAUCCUCUGUCUCCCCCUCCUAUGCUCAUGCUCUGUCUCUCAAUAGUAAACAAACAUCAGAAA
rnacentral:lncRNA from 1 species